AUAUCAUCAACCCUUUCUUCUCACUGCUCUCUUCUCUCAUCGUCAGCUCCUCUUCUUUGUCGAAAGCCAAGCUGUGUGUUGAUCAACGUCGUCUUCACUUACAAACCGUUCCUUCAUCAUCCGAUCUACCUCAGGGUGCAUAAACUUUUUUGUUUUUAUGCACCCUGGAUCUACCUUAAAAACCCGAGUUUAAUUCUGUUCUCCUCUCGUGUCUUGUACAUUCUAAAUUAAUACGUAUAAACUCUAUAAAUACACACGCCCUUAUUGUAACAAAGGCGAGCGCUAUAUGCGCCUACACUGGAGUACGAUAAUUACAACUUUAUUCUCAAAUUAAAAUCUGUCCACCUCUUUCAGCUCCAGUGAAGUAUCAUGACGAACAUUCCCUACCGGCCGAAUGAAUUAGAGUUCUGACUCUUAAUUCAAACCGGAUGUUUGUCAGGGAUGGUGAAAGCUUUUGUCAGAGUGAUGAAGAUAAAAUUACUGGAAUUUAUUGUCAAUUAAUUAGCGUGACAUUUUGUAAUGUAAAACGGAUUUAACUUGAAAACUGUAACACAUUGAAAAAUUACAAUUGUGAGAUUCAAUAAAUAAGUGGGUAAUUUUAUUACGUACAAUCGCAGUGCAGUUGGAAAGUCUUUCUAAUCACUCAAUCAUUCAUAAUGUCGCUGUGGAAGGGAAAAGGUCGAUCAGACUCUCCUGGAGAGUCUGGAGGGGGCAUCCUGUGCUUCUCAAUAUAAAUUUCCUUUACUAUACGCUACAUUGUCAGCUAAUCUCAAUUAUCUAACUUACUAGGCAGAAGAUACAUACGCUUAACAUUAUGCUUAGUUAAAUGACUCCUGAAUUUCCCUAAAUUUUUAACCAUACAGCGAAUGAAUUAAACUUUAUCCAAUUCAAUCACUUUCUGUUGGAAGCAGGAAAAUACUCGGUUGUGAAACGAAAUGUUAGUUCAACUGGUGACUGUGUCAAGAGAUGAUGUGACUUUAAGCAUUUUGACCAGUUAAGAACCACUGCGGAAAAGUGAUUCAAUGACCCAUGAAUCACAGACAAAUAACCUUCACAAUGUUCACAAGGAAAGAUGCAGAGAUUGUAAAAUAAAAUAAAAAAAACAACCCGGGAGCUUUGCAUCAUCGUUGGAGCACUAAUUGGAAAUGCAGAUUUAUCCAAUGGAC